ACGAGGAUCCAUUAGAAGGCAAGUCUGGUGCCAGUAGCCACGGUAAUUCCAACUCCAAUAGCGUAUAUUUAAGUUGCUGUAGUUAAAAAUCUCAUAGUUGCACUUUGGGAUGGGUCAACCGAUCCGCCUUUGGGUGUGCACCGAUUGUCUCGUCCCUUCUGCCGGUGAUGCGCUCCUGGCCUAAAUUGGCAAGAUCGUGCCUCCGGCGUUAUUAAUUUGAAGAAAUUAGAGAACUCAAAGCAAGCCUACACUCUGGAUACAUUAGCAUGGGAUAACACCAUAAGAUUUUGAUCCUAUUACGUUGGCCUUCGGGAUCGAAGUAAUGAUUAAUAGGGACAAUCAGAGGCAUUCGUAUUUCAUAGUCAGAGGUGAAAUUCUUAGAUUUAUGAAAGACAAACAACUACAAAGCAUUUGCCAAGGUCGGUUUCAUUAAUCAAGAACAAAAGUUGAGGGCUUAAAGACGAUCAGAUAUCAUCCUAGUCUCAACCAUAAAUGAUGCCAACUAGGGAUUAGUGGAUGUUUCUUUUAGGACUCUGCUGGCACCUUAUGAGAAAUCAAAGUUUUUGGGUUCUGAAGGGAGUAUGGUCGCAAGGCUGAAACUUAAAGAAAUUAAUGGAAGUGCACAACCAGGAGUGGAGCAGCUUAAUUUGACUCAACACUGGGAAACUUAACAGGUCCAGAUAUAGUAAGGAUUAACAGACUAAGAGCUCUUUCUUGAUUCUAUGGGUGGUGAUGCAUGAUUGUUCUUAGUUGGUGGAGCGAUUUUUCUGGUUAAUUCCACUAAUGAAUGAGAAUCAGCUUGCUAACUAGUUAUGUGGAGGUGAAUCUACACAGCUAGCUUCUUUGAGGGACUAUGGCCUUUCAGGCCAUAGACGUUUGAGGCAAUAACAGGUCUAUGAUGCCCUUAGAUGUUUUGGGCCACACACACACUACACUGAUGUAUUCAACGAGUCUAUAGUCUUAGCUGACAGGCCCGGUUAAUCUUUGAAGUUUAAUCAUGACGGGGAUAGAUCAUUGUAAUUGUUAGUUUUCGACGAGGAAUUCUUAGUAAGCGUAAGUCAUUAGCUCGCGUUGACUAUGUCCCUGCCCUUUGUACACACCGCCCGUCGUUCCUACCAUUUGAAUGGUCCGGUGAAAUGUUUGGAUCGUGGCGAUGUGGGCAGUUCAUUAUCGGCAACAUCGUGAGAAGUCCAUUGAGCCUUACCAUUUAAGCGGAAAGAGAAGUUGUAACAACGUUUCCGUAGGUGAACUUGCGAAAG
rnacentral:rRNA from 1 species